CAUUAUUCAUAUAUGCCUUAAUUUUUAAAGUAGGCUUAUAUAUAAAGUCUUAUAUAUAAAGAAAUGCAUAUAUGUGAUCUGCAUCAUUUGAUGAAUUUGGGCAUAAUAAAAUAUCUGUGAUAUCAUCAUCAUGACCAAGUUAACAGACACACACAACAUUUCCCAAGUUUCCUUGUGUUCCUCAUCCUUAUUUUUAUAGUAAGAACACUUAAUGUGAGAUCUUUCUCUUAAGCAUUUUUGAAGUGCACAAUACCCUGUUGUUAACUAUGGACAUUAUGUUGUACAGGUGUCUAGAAGGAGUUCAUCUAACUUUUAAAACACUUAGGUCUUUUUGUGGGUAUGAUGUGAAUUAGUGACAUUCUUUGUUUUGCAAAUGGACAGUUUUAAUUCAUACAGUGAGUACAGACUUUUUCCUACUCAUUUGACAUCUAUCUAUCUAUCUAUCUAUCUAUCUAUCUAUCUAUCUAUCUAAUCCAAAACCAUAUGUACAUCUGGUUUAUUGUUGGUCUCUCUCCAGGGGAUUUUGAUGUAUCUAUUGUUUAAUUCUCAGAACUUUGUAUUGAUAUGAGGUAGGUCAUGUCCUCAUUCAUGGUGUUUAUUGUCAAUAUUCUUUCACUAUAUUUGUUUUUCUCUUUUAAAUAAAUCUAAGUAUAACUUGCCAGUCCACUUAAGAAAAUCUUGUGUGGAGUUAAAGUUUUCAUAGAACUUACAAUUUAAGUAGAAAAAUUGAGUUUCAUAUAAUAUUAAGUUUUGUCAGUCAAGACAUUUUUACCCAUUUCUAUUUUUCACUAUGUAAAAAUUAAAACUUUUAUUCUCCUCAUUAAAAUUAUUUGUCGUUUUCUGGUUGAUUUUGUUGCUUUUGUGAAUAAAAUUUCUUUGUUGCCGCAGUCUGGCUGGGCACAAAAUCAUGAGCCACUCAAGCAGGAACAAACUUUAUUUUUGAAACUGCCUCCAAUGCCCCGUAUGCUCCUG
rnacentral:lncRNA from 1 species